rnacentral:misc_RNA from 1 species
GCGGGUGGAAAACUCUAAAGCUACCAAUUAGCCCAUGAAUCAAGAUUUAUCUUUACAGUUUGUAGUAAAGCUAGAUAACAGGAAGCCAGAUCGAGUGGACGCUCUCAGACAGGAGAUUGUAAUACGAAUUAGGGGCCUCUAACACCUGCUCGAGCUCUCAAUAUUUCGGUUCUUUUACUUCUUUCCAUUAUGUCCACCAGCCAUUCAACACUUUCCUUUAUCCCCAUCCCAUCAUAGCCAGAAACAGCUUCAAACAUGUAGACUCUUUCGUCCAAUUUUUUAAGAUCGAGAUAGCGAGAAAGUUCUUCUGCUGAUACUGCUUCCGGAAGAUCCUGCUUGUUUGCUAAAACCAAGAGUGGAGCUCCUUGCAAAUCCUCGUGGCGAAGAACUUUCUCUAGUGCAGAUUUGGAAUCUUCAAAUUUUGAAGGACAAGCAGCAUCGAUUACAUAGAUCACAGCAUGCGCCUCUUCAUAAUAUUUUUCCCAAAUAGACCGAAGGCCAGGCUGACCUCCCAGAUCCCAGAAGACAAGCUUUGCAUUCAACACCUCAAGGCGCCCAAUGUUGAGUCCAACAGUUGGAACAAUACGAUCAGGGGAGAGACCUUCCAAGUUUGAG